UUUGAUUCGUUUAGUGCUAUUUUACAGCUAUAUUUUUAUUCCUCCAAAAUCCAAACACCUGUGCACAGCUUAGCCCACUGUGUCUUCCCAUGCAAUUUCCUUUCCCUUUGUUUUUCCUUUUCUUUUCUUUUCUUUUGUUUUCCCGUACUAUAUAUUCCUACCAGUACAUACUCUUCUAGACAUACACACAGAUAUCCAUUUCUCAGCUUUCCAAAACUAACUGAAAUACAACAAAUAUCGAAUGGCUUCUUCAAAUUAUGUACUACUUCUUCUGGCCUCUUUGAUGGCUGCUUCUGCCAGCAAUUUCUAUAAUGAUUUUGAUAUUACAUGGGGAGAUGGUCGUGCUAAGAUACUCAGCAAUGGUGAACUUCUUACCCUUGAUAAAGCUUCAGGCUCAAGAUUUCAGUCCAAGAAUGAGUAUCUUUUUGGAAAGAUUGAUAUGCAAAUCAAACUUGUUCCUAGAAACUCUGCUGGCACUGUCACUGCCUAUUAUGUUUUCUGUUGAGCUGUGGUGGAAGGUAAAUUUAGCGAUGGUCAUGUAACUAAGUACAUAGGUGGUCAUAUUAUACCUAGUGGUUGGAGGGAUUAUGGGGAUAUGAAGUGGGUAGAUGUUGUGGCUAGUGUAAAGUAGUUAGGGUUUGGGACAGUUAAGAAGAUUGGGUAGUUUAAGUGUAGAAUUCUACUUGAAAGUUUCAAGCAUUAGUAAAGAAUAAUGCAGAAUUGAAAAUAAUGUGGGAUGAUGGGGCUGAUUUUAGUUUCUUAAAAGUUUUUAUAGAAACUGGUAUGGAAGAGUUUGAUACUUGUUAUAAUAUAAGGAGAUGAUGGGGAUAAUGAGGAGACAAAUGAUGGAUGUAGUAAUAAUGUAGAUAGUGAGCAACCUGUUGAAGUACAUAUUGAUGAACCUCAUGCAAUGCAUAUUUAUGAAGGUGGUAAGGAUGCUACUGAAGUGGAAUUGGAUCCACAUAUUAAGUUUGAAGAUGAAAGUGAUAAUGAAGCUAGCUUGUUGAAUGAUUCAGAUAAAGAGGAUGAGGAGUUUAUGUUGGCAAUGAAGAAUAAAAAAGCUUUUAAGACUACUGUAGUUGAUCAUAGUAAUGGUUUAGGGUUAAAUGACUUAUUAGAACAUAGCAGACAUGAUGUGGAUACAAGUGCAAGGGAAUUUCGAGCUAUCAAUGAAGAUCGGGGUAGGAAUGAUGGUGAAGUAGUUAGUGAAUAUUCUGAUUUUAGUGAGGAGGGUUAUGAAACUCCUUAUACAAGUGAUAAAGGGGAUUUGGAAAUUAAUCUAAAUAGAAAGAAGAAAAAAAUAUAGUGUACAAUUCUAAAUAUGAUCAUAAGACUAUAGGAUUUGUGUUUGGAAUGAUUUUGAGUCUGUUGCUUAAAUGAAUGUUGUUCAACUAUAUGGCAUAAGUAAUGGGUUUGAUAUUCUUUGGCCUAGCUCAAGUAAGAAAAGAUUAGAAGCCAAGUUUUUUAGAAAUUGCAAAUAGGGUGUUUAGAGUGCCAAGAAGCAAACUAAGUCUACCUUUACUAUUUGAAGAAUAAAUAAUAAGCACAUUUCUUUUAGGAGAGAUACAAAUAGACAAGCAAAAUCUAGGAAUAUUUACUGCAAGUUAGUGAUUUUUAUACAACCUUUUUGGUUUUACAUUUAUUAGCUUCGAUGAAUGAUUCAUUAUGUGUCUUUGAACUGUGCAGAUGCUAGGUGAAUCUAGAGUGAAUUUUGUAAAUGGUUUACAAGCAACUAAAUUUGUAGUUAGAAGGUGCAUGUUAAUCCUAGGUCUCAACAAACUCAGAUAGCAAACACCUCUCAGCCAUUAGGGACUCAAAGUCCAUAGAGUUCUAUCAAUUCCAAAUCUACAUCCACCCAAGCAACUGCAUUAAAACUAGUGAAUAAUGCAACCAAGUCGAAGAGGAAAGGUAAAUACUAAUGAAGCAAUUAGGCUAUUUUUUGUGGUUGUUCUAUGCUAAUAGGCAAAAUACUAUGGUGCCUUUUAUGGUCUUUUUACAGUAACUGGUAGUAAAUUAGGAUGUUUUUGUGGAUAUUCUAUGCCAAUAGGAAAAAUACUAUGGUGCCUUUUAUGGAUUUUUUGUGAUUGGUAGUCAAUUAGGUUUUUUUUUGUCGUUAUUCUAUGCCAAUCAGCAAAAUAAUAUUGUGUCUUUUAUGGUCUUUUUCGAUGAUUGGUAGUCAAUUAAGAUAUUUUUUGUGGCUAUUCUAUACCAAUAAUGACUAUUCUGGCAGCCUAUUAAAUUUUACAAAGCAUUUUUUCAGUAUUUGAACUAUCAAUUUGAUUCCAAAUUAUGUGUCAAUAUCAUUUUCUAUUUUUGUAAUACUAACUAUUAAAUUCAAUAAGCAUAUUGCUUAUUCAUAUCCAAAAUCAAAAGAAAGCAAAAAUCCUCUAAUAUUCAAUUAUGUUCAACACAAAUACAUCCAAAGCAAGUACAACACUUGUUUUUGCUUCAAUGGCAUAGCUUGCAUACACACAAUUAAAGCUACAACAACAAAACACAUUACAAUUAUAAAUUUUGUAUCCCUUGCAUCUUUAUAAAUGAUGUCCCUCUAUAAAUUGCUUAUCUGUUGACUAAGCAUUAGUUUUUCUUCCUUCAAAUGACAUAAACAUUGCUUUAACAUUCUUUUUCUUUAAUAAUAGCUCUUCAUUAGCAUUGGUUUGCUUGUAAAUCAUCUCAAAAACUAUUUUAUCCAUAAAAGAACCUUUUAGAUAAUAUCAUUAAAGCAUGUUACAAGUUCCUUUCCUCUCAAAAAGAACCCUUCUAUUAAGGGUUUUUCUGGUUGUUGAAGUAUAAUAUCAUAACUCAAUAUUGUGCUUGAAACAAUAUCUCACUCCACUUCUAGAUGAAGUCACUAAGGCUAAACUAGUAGAAUCCAUGGCAUCCAACUUUCUGUUACCCUUGUACAACUAAUAAGCCAAAAACCCUAACUAGAAAACCUCUUACCUAAAUAAGACCUUAGCUACAUAAAUCUGUUGCUAUCCCUUCCCUUUGGUUAUAACAACGAUCAAAGACGAGAGAGAGAAAGAAUUACUUUUAUUGAGAAGAAAAAUUUGCAAUUGCUUAGAAAAUUGAAAAUUUGCAACUUUUGAAAAAGAGAAUGACUGAGAGACUACAUAGAGAGAAGAAUUGAGUAAAUUAGGUUUAAGUUCUUUUUAUUUUUUUAUUCAUAACUCUAGUAAACAAGCUAACUCAAAUUGGUCUGAUGUUGACGUGGGCUCGAUAAGCCUACACUAAUCACAUGCCCACAUGGAUGUCGACUCAGCUGCCAGAUCAGUUUAAUUUUGACCAGGAGAGGAGGUAGGCUAAAAUUGCACUUCAGUAUCGCAAACUCGGCCUAUUUUAACAUUUUUAAAAGUUUGGGCCAAAAUCAAACUAACACGCAAGGAUUUGAAUUUUAAUUACUAUUAGGUCUAUAUUUUAUUAAUUGAUAGUUUACUAUUUCUAACUUUUUUUAAAAAACUUUCUUAAGAAGAAAAGAGAAUUAAAAUAUUAAUAUUUUUUGAAUA